AACCAGCACCUCAAGUGGUCAGGAGGAUUAUUGGGCCUAAAGCAUCCGUAGCCGGCUCUGUAAGUUUUCGGUUAAAUCUAUAUGCUCAACGUAUAGGCUGCCGAAAAUACUGCAUAGCUAGGGAAUGGGAGAGGUAGACGGUACUCGGUAGGAAGGGGUAAAAUCCUUUGAUCUAUCGAUGACCACCUGUGGCGAAGGCGGUCUACCAGAACAUGUUCGACGGUGAGGAACGAAACCCUGGGGCGCAAACGGG
rnacentral:rRNA from 1 species